CGCCUCUUGAAUACCCAUAAGAGGUCCAGCCUGCCCAGUGACCCUGUUCAACGGCCGCGGUAUCCUAACCGUGCAAAGGUAGCGUAAUCACUUGUUCUUUAAAUAUGGACUAGUAUGAACGGCACCACGAGGGCUAUACUGUCUCCUUUUCCCAAUCAGUGAAACUAAUCUCCCCGUGAAGAAGCGAGGAUAAAAUUAUAAGACGAGAAGACCCCAUGGAGCUUUAAACAAUGUAGCACCUGCCCCACGAUAUAAAAAUUUCUGAAUUCAAACCCACCAAGCAGCAUGACUAUAAGUUUUUGGUUGGGGUGACCACGGAGCAUAAAACAACCUCCACGCUGAAAGAAUCUUUUUUAAGCUAAGAACUACCCAUCUAAGCAUCAAUUUAUUGACACCCAUUGACCCAAUAUACUUGAACAACGAACCAAGUUACCCUGGGGAUAACAGCGCA
rnacentral:rRNA from 1 species